UACGUAGGGUGCAAGCGUUGUCCGGAAUUAUUGGGCGUAAAGAGCUCGUAGGCGGUCUGUCGCGUCGGCUGUGAAAACCCGGGGCUCAACCCCGGGCCUGCAGUCGAUACGGGCAGACUAGAGUGUGGUAGGGGAGACUGGAAUUCCUGGUGUAGCGGUGAAAUGCGCAGAUAUCAGGAGGAACACCGGUGGCGAAGGCGGGUCUCUGGGCCAUAACUGACGCUGAGGAGCGAAAGCGUGGGGAGCGAACAGG
rnacentral:rRNA from 1 species